CGUUGACCUCGAAUCAGGUAGGACUACCCGCUGAACUUAAGCAUAUCAAUAAGCGGAGGAAAA
rnacentral:rRNA from 1 species